rnacentral:rRNA from 1 species
UAAGUUUUCGGUUAAAUCUGUACGCUCAACGUACAGGCUGCCGGGAAUACUGCAGAGCUAGGGAGUGGGAGAGGUAGACGGUACUCGGGAGGAAGUGGUAAAAUGCUUUGAUCUCUCGAUGACCACCUGUGGCGAAGGCGGUCUACCAGAACACGUCCGACGGUGAGGGAUGAAAGCUGGGGGAGCAAACCGGAUUAGAUACCCGGGUAGUCCCAGCUGUAAACUAUGCAAACUCAGUGAUGCAUUGGCUUGUGGCCAAUGCAUUAUUGCAGGGAAGCCGUUAAGUUUGCCGCCUGGGAAGUACGUACGCAAGUAUAAAACUUAAAGGAAUUGGCGGGGGAGCACCACAAGGGGUGAAGCCUGCGGUUCAAUUGGAGUCAACGCCUUAAAUCUUACCCGGAGAGACAGCAGAAUGAAGGUCAAGCUGAAGACUUUACCAGACAAUCUGAGAGGUGGUGCAUGGCCGUCGCCAGCUCGUGCCGUGAGAUGUCCUGUUAUGUCAGGUUUCUAGCGAAAUCCCUGCCUCAAGUUGCCCCAUUACUCUUAGGAGUAGUGGGGCGAAUUAGCGGGACCGCCGCAGUUAAUGCGGAGGAAGGAAGGGGCCUCCUCCCCGUCACUAUGCCCCCUAAACUU